rnacentral:rRNA from 1 species
UGGGGAAUAUUGCACAAUGGGCGCAAGCCUGAUGCAGCCAUGCCGCGUGUGUGAAGAAGGCCUUCGGGUUGUAAAGCACUUUCAGCGGGGAGGAAGGCGUUAAGGUUAAUAACCUUGGCGAUUGACGUUACCCGCAGAAGAAGCACCGGCUAACUCCGUGCCAGCAGCUGCGGUAAUACGGAGGGUGCAAGCGUUAAUCGGAAUUACUCGGCGUAAAGCGCACGCAGGCGGUCUGUCAAGUCGGAUGUGAAAUCCCCGGGCUCAACCUGGGAACUGCAUUCAAAACUGGCAGGCUAGAGUCUUGUAGAGGAGGGUAGAAUUCCAGGUGUAGCGGUGAAAUGCGUAGAAAUCUGGAGGAAUACCGGUGGCGAAGGCGGCCCCCUAGACAAAGACUGACGCUCAGGUGCGAAAGCGUGGGGAGCAAACAGG